rnacentral:rRNA from 1 species
CGACCCCAGGUCAGACGGGACUACCCGCUGAGUUUAAGCAUAUCAAUAAGCGGAGGAA